rnacentral:rRNA from 1 species
AGUGAACGCUGGCGGUAGGCCUAACACAUGCAAGUCGAACGGCAGCACAGUAAGAGCUUGCUCUUACGUGUGGCGAGUGGCGGACGGGUGUGGAAUACAUCGGAAUCUACUUUUUCGUGGGGUAUAACGUAGGGAAACUUACGCUAAUACCGUAUACUACCUACGGGUGAAAGCAGGGGAUCUUCGUACCUUGCGCGAUUGAAUGAGCCGAUGUCGGAUUAGCUAGUUGGCGGGGUAAAGGCCCACCAAGGCGACGAUCCGUAGCUGGUCUGAGAGGAUGAUCAGCCACACUGAAACUGAGACACGGUCCAGACUCCUACGGGAGGCAGCAGUGGGGAAUAUUGGACAAUGGGCGCAAGCCUGAUCCAGCCAUACCGCGUGGGUGAAGAAGGCCUUCGGGUUGUAAAGCACUUUUGUUGGGAAAGAAAAGCAGAAGGUUAAUACCCCGCUGUUCUGACGGUACCCAAAGAAGAAGCACCGGCUAACUUCGUG